GAUGAACGCUGGCGGCGUGCCUAAUACAUGCAAGUCGAGCGAACAGACGAGGAGCUUGCUCCUCUGACGUUAGCGGCGGACGGGUGAGUAACACGUGGAUAACCUACCUAUAAGACUGGGAUCACUUCGGGAAACCGGCGCUAAUCCCGGAUAACAUGUUGCACCGCAUGGUUCAUCAGUGAAAGACGGUCUUGCUGUAACUUCUAGAUGCAUCCGGGCCGCUUUAGAUAGUUGGUAGGGUAACGGCUUACCAAGGCAACGAUGCGUAACCGACCUGAGAGGGUGAUCGGCCACACGGGAACUGAGACACGGUCCAGACUCCUACGGGAGGCAGCAGUAGGGAAUCUUCCGCAAUGGGCGAGAUCCUGACGGAGCAACGCGGCGUGAGUGAAGAAGGUCUUCGGAGCGUAAAACUCUGUUAUGAGUGAAGAACAAAUGUGUAAGUAACUAUGCACGUCUUGACGGUACCGAAUCAGAAAGCCACGGCUAACUACGUG
rnacentral:rRNA from 1 species